rnacentral:rRNA from 1 species
CCCUUAGAUGUUCUGGGCCGCACGCGCGCUACACUGUUCGACGCAGCGAGUCUUAACCUUGACCGAAAGGUUUGGGUAAUCUUCAGCAAAGUCGAACGUGAUGGGGAUCGAUCAUUGCAAUUAUUGAUCGUGAACGAGGAAUUCCUAGUAAGUGCAAGUCAUCAGCUUGCGCUGAUUACGUCCCUGCCCUUUGUACACACCGCCCGUCGCUACUACCGAUUGAAUGGUUUAGUCAGAUCUCUGGAUUGACGCUGGCUAGGGGGCGACCCUUGGCCAGGCUGUCGAGAAACUGCUCAAACUUGAUCAUUUAGAGGAAGUAAAAGUCGUAACA